UUUUAUGGUAGGACGGAAGGGGGACGCCUUGUGCGUGCUGGUUUCUUUGUUUCCAGUCUGCUAACCCUCUUCUGUUCUGCCGCCAUC
rnacentral:antisense_RNA from 1 species